rnacentral:rRNA from 1 species
GACGAACGCUGGCGGCGUGCUUAACACAUGCAAGUCGAACGGAAAGGCCCCUUUGGGGGUCCUCGAGUGGCGAACGGGUGAGUAACACGUGAGUAACCUGCCCUUGACUUCGGGAUAACUUCAGGAAACUGGGGCUAAUACCGGAUAGGAAUCCUUGCUGCAUGGUGGGGGUUGGAAAGCUUCGGCGGUUUUGGAUGGACUCGCGGCUUAUCAGCUUGUUGGUGGGGUAGUGGCUUACCAAGGCUUUGACGGGUAGCCGGCCUGAGAGGGCGACCGGCCACAUUGGGACUGAGAUACGGCCCAGACUCCUACGGGGGGCAGCAGUGGGGAAUAUUGCACAAUGGGCGGAAGCCUGAUGCAGCAACGCCGCGUGCGGGAUGACGGCCUUCGGGUUGUAAACCGCUUUCAGCAGGGGCGAAGCUUGUGGUGACGGUACCUGCAGAAGAAGCACCGGCUAACUACGU